GACGAACGCUGGCGGCGUGCCUAAUACAUGCAAGUAGAACGCUGAAGGAGGAGCUUGCUUCUCUGGAUGAGUUGCGAACGGGUGAGUAACGCGUAGGUAACCUGCCUGGUAGCGGGGGAUAACUAUUGGAAACGAUAGCUAAUACCGCAUAAGAGUAGAUGUUGCAUGACAUUUGCUUAAAAGGUGCAAAUGCAUCACUACCAGAUGGACCUGCGUUGUAUUAGCUAGUCGGUGAGGUAACGGCUCACCAAGGCAACGAUACAUAGCCGACCUGAGAGGGUGAUCGGCCACACUGGGACUGAGACACGGCCCAGACUCCUACGGGAGGCAGCAGUAGGGAAUCUUCGGCAAUGGACGGAAGUCUGACCGAGCAACGCCGCGUGAGUGAAGAAGGUUUUCGGAUCGUAAAGCUCUGUUGUAAGAGAAGAACGAGUGUGAGAGUGGAAAGUUCACACUGUGACCGUAUCUACCAGAAAGCGCG
rnacentral:rRNA from 1 species